GAUGAACGCUGGCGGCGUGCCUAAUACAUGCAAGUCGAGCGAACAGACGAGGAGCUUGCUCCUCUGACGUUAGCGGCGGACGGGUGAGUAACACGUGGAUAACCUACCUAUAAGACUGGGAUAACUUCGGGAAACCGGAGCUAAUACCGGAUAAUAUAUUGAACCGCAUGGUUCAAUAGUGAAAGACGGUUUUGCUGUCACUUAUAGAUGGAUCCGCGCCGCAUUAGCUAGUUGGUAAGGUAACGGCUUACCAAGGAAACGAUGCGUAGCCGACCUGAGAGGGUGAUCGGCCACACUGGAACUGAGACACGGUCCAGACUCCUACGGGAGGCAGCAGUAGGGAAUCUUCCGCAAUGGGCGAAAGCCUGACGGAGCAACACCGCGUGAGUGAUGAAGGUCUUCGGAUCGUAAAACUCUGUUAUUAGGGAAGAACAAAUGUGUAAGUAACUAUGCACGUCUUGACGGUACCUAAUCAGAAAGCCACGGCUAACUACGUG
rnacentral:rRNA from 1 species